rnacentral:lncRNA from 1 species
GGCAGUAUAUGCUGGAGCCUGAGUAUAACCAGCACCAUAAGAACUGUUGCUGUAUGGAGGUGGUGCCUGACCAUAUGCAGGCUGACCACCCUGAGGUGCACCAUAUGUUUGAGAACCAUACCCUGGUUGCCCUGCACCAUAUCCCGAAGGUGGUGCUCUCUGAGCACCAGAUUCUGGUUGGGGUUGAGAAUAACCGGAAGGUGGAGGCUGCGCAGGAUAUGCUGACUGACCAUAGCCUCCUACCGCACUAGGUGACUGCGACUGUCCAUAAACAGGAGGAUUACCACUUGGCUUUUGAGAUUGUGGGGCUCCAUAACCAGGUCCGUAACCUGGCUGUGGUUGACUUCCAUAAGCAGCUUGGGAUGUAGGUGGAACCCCAUAACCUGACUGAGGAGUUCCCUGAGGUGGGUAGCUAGCAGUGUUUGAGCUGGGCUGUUGGCUGGUAGGAUAACCUUGCUGUGGCUGUUGGGUAGAUGGAGCUUGGGCUGAAUCUCCCUGUGAAGCAUAGCUCGCAGUGUGGCCCUCUUGUGCUGGGUUACUGCCACUACCAUAGCCAGUAACGGAGCCAUAGCCUUGCUGCUGAUCAUAUGUUGGUGGUUGUCCAUACCCUGAUUGAGAUUGUGCAUUAUAUGCAUUAUAGCUGUCCUGAGCAUAACCCUGUCCGGGUUGGCUAUAACCAGAAGAAGGUGGUUGACUAUAAUUGUAUGCAGAGCCAUCAGCUGGAGGUGCAGGACCUCCAGGAUUUUGUGGUUGCUGUGGCUGUUGACUAUAGUAAUCAUAGCCACCAGCAUGAGUUGACUGUUGGUGAGAUGGUGCAGAAGACUGGUCCCAAUUGGUGGAAUAUCCACCUGGUUGUUGGGGAGGAUAGCCCGAAUAUUGUUGCUGAGGCAUGUUAUACUGAGGUGAUGGACCAGAAUAUGCUCCAGGUUGCACAUAUCCAUAACCAGGUUGCUGCAUUGGUGCAGGGGGGGCCCAGUUAGAGGGUGGUCGAGAUUGGUAACCUUGCUGAGGAUACCCACCAGACAUUGAAGGAUUUCUAAGACGAUUCUGUGGAUUCAAAUUGAAAACCAAAAUAAAGGGAGUGAGUUCACCCAAAUUUCCACACAAGACAAGUAUAGGAAGCAACAUAUGCACACAUACACAGGUUAAACUUACAAAUGCAAAAAUCAACAUGUAAUGAACACGAGAUAAAGGGUAUAUAUAUUAUCUUGCAUUAACGGGUUGCAUACAUGAUCAGAAAGGGAUACGAAUACCUACAUACCGUACUGGUUCGUGAUAAAACUGAGUUACUCCAGCAGAAGCACACCCUUUCCCUAUUCGAAUUGAAUGGGUACAAAAGAAAGCACAGACCAUAGAAGCAAACAAUCAUUCAAUAUUUAUUGCCUUGAAAAGGCAAUCCAUCAUAUAGUAUAUCAAUAUGCAAUAUCUUACUCCAAUUGUUACACUAUACAAUAUAUCAUUCAUAUUCAUAUUAAUUCAACAAGAGUGACUGGACUACAGAUAUUUCACACCCUAUUAAGAUGAAUGCGCAACUCCAAAUUCAAAUAUACAGACUGUUGAAACAACUUUUCUGUGCUCCCAUGUACAUUCUCUCAUCCUUUGUACAACCCAUUCUAAUAGUCCAACCUCGGGAUCAUCAGUUAAAAACAAUAAAAUUAAAUAUUAUUUUAAUGGAACAUGAAUUAGAAAGAAAAGAAAAAUAAUUGAAUGAGGCAGAACAGAAGUGGCACAAAAUGUAUAACAGACAAAUCUUAAUAGAAAUCUUAAACAUAACUGGUUAGUUAAGAAAACUAUUUAACACUGGACAAGAAUAAUAAAACUGGACAAGAAUAAUAGUAUAGGGAAAAUAAUUAAAGUGCUGAACGACGGACAAAUUUCAGGUUACCUAUGCCAAAUGUAAGUCCAGUAUAAGAUACGAGGAUAAAAUACUACUCCAAGUACACUAAGGUUCUUUUUAGAAAUAAACUGAAAAGCACAAGAGACCUAGUUGAAAACUAUUUCAACAUAAUUCAACAUUGAGUCUAAUAAUGACACUAUAGUCAAAAAGUAUUAGUAGGAGACUUACUGCCCUUGAUAAUAAAUAUCAAAACUGAGAUUUAGAACCAUACCAGGGCAUGCUGAGGGAACACCAACAAAAGGAUUCAUGUUGGUGUCACCAAUGGUCCAAUAGACACUAACCCUACAACAGUCCCAAUAACAAUAUCAGUCAUAGGAUACACAAUUAAUAAGCAUAUUCCACUGUCGAAAGGUUAUAAUCUCAAUGAGUAUCCAUCUGGCCCAAAAAUAUUUCAUAAUAACAGUAGCCUUCAGAGCACCAGGAAUCUAAACCAACAAAAACAAUGAAAGACGCACCUCACCAAAGCACUGGGCUAAGUGAAAAACACAAUUAAAAUACGGUCUUUGUAAAUAUAUGGUAUCUUGGUCAAGAAAACUGACAGGCCAAUUCUAAAAUAUUGCUACCAACGUCCUUGAUUCGUGGAUGUAUAAAAGAGAUAAUGGCUAAGACGUAUUAGCUAAUUAUAUAGAGCAGACUACACAUACACAAACAUAAAGACACAGUUGACAAGUCAGACCCUGAAAGUUCAUCAUGACCAUCACCUAAUCCUAGACUAAACAUAAAGGAAGAUGCGUAUUGCUAAUAUAUCAAGACUGUUAAUCGAACAAGAUACCAUACAAUUGUUAACAACAUUAUACAGCUAAUAAUUGAUGGCUAUAGCAGUGAACGGUCUCACUAAUCAUGUUUCCACUUGGCCAGCUGACGCAACAACACUGAGGAGUUGGAGAUUACAAGCAAGAACAUCGUAACAGCCAUUAGUCUUCUACCUUUGUGCAUUAUUUUGCAUAAGUCUUGAAACACUUGCACAAUAUGAAAAUAUGUACUAAUUUUCUUUUGAGAACAAUACAGUAGGUAACAGAGAUCCGAAUAAUAUUAAUGUAUCAUAUAAUAAAGACCACUUGUUAAAGGCACAUUAGGCUCUGAAAAAAUUUCUACUUCCUUAAACAUACUCUAUCAUCUAAGCUGCUUUGGAAGAGAGAUCAAUGCAUCCCGAAUAUGCAUCAAGUUACUAAUAAUUGUCAUACAGCUAAGCUGCUUCGGUCCAGAUCAAAACAUCAAUAAUAUACAAUGUAUAAUAAUGGUCACAGUGUUAUGCUGUAUCAAUAAUAAGAUCAAGGAAUUAAUUAAUAUGAACAGAAUAAAUGUCAUUUAUGCAAAACUAAAGUGAAAACCAUCACAUGAUUUACCAAAACUAUUUUUUCCCUGCAAAGGAACAAAUCGGAGAGUACAAAAAUCAUGUAUCAUGUUACAGGAAUCAAUCAGAUCUAACUUUAUAUUUUAAUAUCAUAAAAAAUAAAAAGACCCAACAGGCAAUGACAAGCACACCGUAUUCAUCUCACAAUAACAUAAAGCUUGCACGUAAAUCAACCUAGUUUGAUCAAACAGUCUAGAUGAUAAAUAGAUUGUGCAACAUACAGAGUACAAAACCCAGUAGAAAAACAGCAAUUUUAAACACUAGACUAGACUUGGCCUUACCAGGCAGAUAUGCCUAAGCCAAAUCUGGCAAAAAGAAGCACCAUUAACAUACCUCGCCACUGAUGAUUUGAUUAACCAACUCCUUUGCAGACUCAAUUUGCUCAGGUGUCCCAUCAACUUUUAAUGUUCUUUCAGUUGAUGUGUCACCUGGAGGAAGAUGCAGAGGUAUCACCUGAAAAAACAUAUAAACAUUAGCCAAAAGUCAUAAAAGUUGGCCGUUAACACAAUCUCUUUUCAAAUUAGUUGCAAUCACAAAGCUACGGUAAAAAAAAACAUAACAACAAGGCUACACUAACUAUGAUUUAUCACCGAUAUCUAAUACACAAAUAAGAGAACAGCGUUCUAUAUAUCACUUAUAAGUACAAACCUGAAUCCGUGCUCCUGUAGAAGCUUGCAUAUUCUUUAUAGUUUCUCCUCCUUUGCCAAUUAUAAGGCCAACCUGAAGAUGCACACGAUAAACAUAUCAACCCAAAGAGAUAGAAAAAAACAGAUCUGAACACGGAAAUUACGCAUGACAUUGUACAAAGCAUACACUCAUAUCUCCCUUUCACACCUUAUUAUUUGGAAUUCUCAUGACAAAUUCAUCUGACCCAGCUUGUCCAGUCAGUCUUCGAGCAACAAUGCCAGAACCUCCAGAUUCAGCCUGGUACAACAACAGUUGUCAUCGUAUAUAUUGCAAUAAUUAAACAUGUGAGAAAUUUAUCAAGAAACAGACCUCCUUCGUAAGAUUAUCGUAACGUCAAAUCUAUGAUAAACGAAAUUUAAUACAUACAUGAUUCACAGAAAAAAAAAUAGUAUAAAAUGUGAUUAACCUCAGCAAGAACUUCAUUUAUGAGUUUCUCCGCAGAAGCAAUUGCCUCGGGAGUGCCCAUAAGCUCAACCGUUCUUGAAGUAGAAUUAGGGUCGGCGUCCAUAUCGCGAGUAACUUGAAUUUUAGCACCAGACUGCAACUGGAGAUACUUAAUAGUCUCUCCACCUUUGCCAAUAAUCACACCAACCCUGCCGUUAGGGAUAUCGAUCUUCUUGCUCGUUCCUUGGUGACUGUAGGAGACGGGAGGAACGGCUGAGUACUGAGGCUUCGCAUCUACGUUCACGGAAAACAGAGUUUAUAAAACCCUAACCUAAACGAGAAGAAUAGUGGAGCAGAGGGGAUAGCUAGUUACCGUAAGAAUCGAAGCCGGAGGUAGGAGCGCCGUUAUCGGGUUUGGCACGCUUGGCGUCGAGCGGGGGAGGAGGAGCAACGCUGAGGAGGCGAGUGGCGACUUCUUGAGCACGCUGCUUGGCAAGCUCGAUGCCGGUAGCGGGGCCGGCGGAGAAGCCGGUGGGUCUAUCGGAGGAUUGGUCUUCAUACUUGCGUUUGAGGGGCGUAGAGUCGUUGGGAGAUGAAUAGUGGGCUUCGUCCGCCAUUGGCACAAACCCUAAAGACGUUAGGUGUGUAAGAGAGGGUGGUGAUGUUAUUUAUAAUAUAUAGUGGUGGCUAGUGUGACCCCUACCAUGGGUGGGGCAGGGUAGAAAAAAAGGAGAUAUUUUGCAUCCCUUCGCUUGAGGCACCUUUACGUCAUUCAUACAAUUAUACAGAUAAAACUAUUUUUAUCUCUAUUUUUCUAUCUAUCAUCUUAUUAUUUUUAAUUUUUCUAUCUAUUUUUUAUUUUUAAGAUUUUAUAUUUAAGAUAAACAUUUUGAUAUUAUCGGUGUAUCUACUACUAAUUAAUAUUAAUUAACUUUUAAUUUUUUAUAAUUAUAUCUUGUGUUUUUAUUUAAAAUUAACAUGAUUACAUCAUCAAUAAUAAUAAAAAUAAAACUAAUUUAUGUUUAUAGAUUCAACUUUUAUGUUAUUGUAGGGUUUAAUUUUUUAUUUUCUUCAUUUUUAAAAAAUUAAACUAAACAUUUUUAAUUUACUACUUUUUUAUUUUUAUUUUGUAAAAAAUCAUUUUUUUAUUUAUUAAUUAUAUUUCUAACUAUUUAAAACAUUAAAUUAUUUUUUUAAUGCAUUCAAAAAUAAAAUUAUCAAAAAAAUUAAUUUAUUAAUUUUAAUUUUUUUACUUUUGAAAUGGUGUUAGAUAGGGAUAUAAAAAUAAAAGAGUGUUAGGUAAGAAAAUAAAGACAAGUGCGGGAAAAUAAAAAUGUAAAUAGUGUUGUUAUAUGAGGGAUUGAAUCUACAAUUCUCACUUCAUUUCAACUUUUUCGCUGUUUCUUUAAUCAAUAUUUUUUAAUAAUAUUCAUACAAAAAUAAAGGUAAUUUUUUAAUGAUAUGUUUUUUUAUUAACAAUGAUAUAUUUUAUUAAAUAAGAGUUUAUUUGCGAUAUUUUUUGUAAACUUUAUUCGGUUAAAUUGAAAAAAUUAGUAUUGAGUGACUUUUUAUGGAUUUUUAAAAUUAAAAAAAAAAAUAAAGAAGCCUAUAGGAUAAAAAUAAAUAUGUUGCUUAUGGAUUCAGUUGAAAUUAUCUUAAAGAGAAACUUUAUUUGAAUUAGUUAUAAUAAGUUUAUUUAAUUAAUGUAUUAGUAUAUUAACAAUUACCAUAUACAAUUUAGAUAUUGGCAUUCUCAUUAGUAUUUUUUUAAUAUUUUUUACCGUGAGAUCAUACAACUGAUGUAAUGGUCAAGGUUAACGGCCCCACGACCGAUAGUUCAAGUCCAGUUAUGCUCAAUCAAGGUCGACGAAGUUAAUUCGUGAUUAGGAGUCAAGUAAUGCAUCCCUAAGCAUGAUUCAGCCCCUUAACCCGACCCAAUAAAAAAAGUCAAUCAAAGAUAAUAUAAGAUUUGAUUCAAAUAUUAUAUGUGAAACUAAUAUAAGAUUUGAUUAAAAUAUUAUAUGUAAGACUAAUACAAGAUUUAUAAAUAAAAUUUAUGAACUCGACUUUAUAAAUAGAUUAAUUAUAUAUAUACUAAUAGAUGUGAACAUACAUAUUUAAAAUUAUAUAUGACUUUAACUAAAUAUUUAUUUAUUAAAAGUAUUUAUUAUUCUAGCUGAAUCCUGAUAUCGAACAACUUUUUACAAAUACUCCACACGUAUUUAGUACCAAGACUUCUUUGAUACUCUCUGUUUGAAUUGAGGUGGAAAUUUGUGAGGAAGGGAGAUAGUGAAUUGAAGAAGAUUAUGGGGAAUGUGUGAUGUUGUUUGGAUUGAGGGAUGAUAGAGUGGAUUUGUUAUGAUUGUUUAUUAAAAUUUGUAAGUGAUGAGAUAGUUAUGACAUAAUUUAGAAAUUAUUUUAAAGGUGUAAAAUGCAAAUUUACAAAUUUAUCUUUGUCAUUAAAAAAUAUUUUAAUAAUGAGUUAGGUUUUUUUUUUUUGUAAGUUUGAGUUAAUUUUUUUUCUAAUAUAUAAUAUUCAUAAUUACUCUUAUUUUGUAAUACAAAAUAAUUCCGUGUUAAAUUAAAAAAAUAUAUUAAAUAUAUUAAAAUUUAUGAAAAUAAUAUUUAUUAUUAUAUACAUUUGUUAUUUUAUAUAAUUAUAAAUGUUUUGUUGAUAUGUCAAAUAAUAUGAAUAAAUUUAGCAACUUGUUCUUCAACUAUUGAAGGAUAUGCAUCCUUAACAAGUUGCCCUAAUUCGUUUACAUAAUAUUGAAUGAAUGCUUAUGGUUACAUGCGAAUAAUGUCAUGAGAACAUCCCGUGUGCACCAAAUACUCCAUCAAUUAUUGUUUGCAAGUUGAGUAUAUAUUUUCAAUUGUUCUUAUAUUUUUUAAAUGAGAUUCAUGUUCACACGAGCAAUAUCAUUAUAAAUUGCAAUUGUAUCAUCAAAUUCUUCUUUGUCGUUUCAAAGUGGUUUCCAAUUGUUUUCGUUAUCCAUCUAAUAUUUACCUUAUCAUUGACAAUCAUAAAAUAGUUUAUCGAUACACAUCAAAUAAUUUAUGCUACGAAUAACUCUAACCACUUAAAGUUGGAGUUAGUGCAAUAGUACUAAGGUUAAUAUUAGAGUGAUGUGAAGAAUAAUGUUAAGAUUAAGACGCACUUUAAUAUUUAUAAUUAAAUCUAUAAAAAAAACACAUAAAAAUAAACAAAACAGUAAAAAUGUAAAAAAGCAAAUUUAAAUUUAAAUGAUUCACUAUAUCUUGUUAAUAAAAAAAUGUAACACUAAACACACAGUAAAAAAAAAAAAUAUAUAUAUAUAUAUAUUAAAAACAAUAAAGACAUUGAAUAAAAAAAACAGUGAACACAAAGUAAUAAGAAAAAUGUAAAUAAAUUUAUAAAAAUUAAAAAUAAUAGAUGUAAAUGCAUUUAUAAAAAACUAAAAAUAAUUACCACAUAAAAAAAAACACUAAACACCUAAAAAAAUUUAAACACAAUUAUUAAAAUUAAAAAUAGUAAACAAAUAAUAAAAAAAAUGUAAAAACAAAAACACAAAAAACACAUAAUAACAAAUAAAUAUACAAAUAUAUUUAUAAAAAAUAAAAACAGUAGUUACAUAAAUUAAAAAGACAUGAUAAUAAAAAAUAUAAAACAUUAAACAAAUAACAAAAAAAAUACAGAACAGUAAUCAAAUAAUAAAAAAUUAAACAGUAAACACAUAAUAUAAAAAAUAUAAAUACAUUUAUAAAAAUAAAAAAUUUAUAAACACAUAUAAAAACAAAAAAAAUUAAAUACAUUUAUAAAAAUUAAAAUCUGUAUGUAAACCCAUAAAAAAGCAAACAAGACAAAAAAAACCUAAGAAAAAAAUUUAAAUACAAUUAUUAAAAUAAAAAAACAAUAAACACAUAAAAAAACUAAACAGUUUCUUGUUAUUAAAAAAAAUUAAAAAACAUUAAACACAUAAUAUAUAUAUAUAUAUAUAUAAAUAUAAUUAAGAAAUAAGUAAAUACAAUAAAAUAAAAUAAAAAUAAAAAAACUAAACAAUAAACACAUAAUAAAUAAAAAAAUAGUAAAAAAACAAUAAAGACAUAAUAAUAAAAGAAAAUGUAAAUACAAUUUUAAAAAAUUAAAAAUAAUAAACUACUUUUUUUAUGAAAUACAUUUAUAAAAUUAAAAAAUAGUAAAUACAAAAAAAAAAGUGUAAAUCCAUUUAUAAAAAUUAAAUACAGUAAACACAUAAUAAAUAAAAAAGUCAAAUAUAUUUAUAAAAAUUAAAUACAAUAAAUACAUAAGAAAAACUAAACAAUAGUACAAAUGCAACAAAAAAAUGUAAAUACAAUUAUUAAGAUUAAAAACAGUAGACAUAUAAAAAAAAUAAACAGUAUCUUGUUAAUAAAAAAGAUAUAAAAACAAUAAAGACAUAAUAACAAAUAUAUAUAUAAAAAUUAAAAACAAUAAAACAUAGAAUAAAAAAAACAACAAACACAAAAUAAUAAAAAAUAUAAAAACAGUAAACAAAUAAUAAUAAAAAUAUAACUUUUUUAUAAAAAAUAAAAACAAUAAACACAUCAACAAAUGUAAAUGCAUUUAUAACAACUAAAAAUGGUAUUAUUAAAAUUAAAAAUAAUAAACACAUAAAAGUAAUAAUAAAAAUGUAAAACAUUAAACACAUAAUAAUAUAAAAAAACAUUAAAGUUAUAAAAUAAAAACUAAACCGUAAACAUAAUAAUAAAAAUAUUUAAUUACCUUAUUCGUCCCUAUAUUUGGGGUCAAUAUUCAAUUUGAUACCGUGGUUUUUAAAAAAAUCAAUUUGGUACCGUGAUUUAAAAAAUAAUCAAUUUGGUCCCUAUGUCUUUUAAAAUGUAUCCAAAUUGGUCUUUCCGUUAAAUCCCUCCUAACAGCUAACAGCGUAAGGUGUUGCUUAUGAUAAAGAGAAUGUCUAUAUGGGGAGAGAGAUGUGAGAUUAUUAUUAUUAUUAUAGUUAUUAUUAAUACUAUUAUUAUUAUUGUUAUUUUUAUUACUAUUAUUAUUAAUAUUAUUUUUCUUAAUAUUAUUACUAUUAUUGAUAUUUUUAUUACUAUUAUUACUAUUAAUAUUAUUUUUCUUAAUAUUAAUAUUAUUAUUAUUACUAAUAAAAAAUAAAAUAAAAAUAGUAAUAAUAAUAAUAUUAAGAAUAAUAAUAAGAAAAAUAAUAUUAAUAAUAAUAAUAAUAAUAGUAAUAAUAAUAUUUAUAUUAAGAAUAAUAAUAAUAAUAAUAAUAAUUCUCAAUCUCACCUCUCCCUCCACAUAAACACUCUAUCUCCCACAUAAACACUCUCUCUAACCCACAUUCUUUCUGUGUCACAUAAGCAACACCUACGCUGUUAGGUGGAACUUAACGGAAAUGACCAAUUUGGAUACAUUUUAAAAUAUAUAGGGACCAAAUUGAUUUUUUUAAAAACCACGGUACCAAAUUGAAUAUUGACCCCAAAUGUAUGGACGAAUAAGGUAAUUAAAUAUAAUAAAAACUGUAAAACCAAUAAACACAUAAUAAUAAAAAAGAAAAGUAAAUACAUUUAGAAAAAUAAAAAACUGUAAACACAAAAUAUAAACUAAACAAUAAAUACAUAUAAAAGAGUAUAAAUAUUGUACUGUUACAGUCUAUAGGACUGAUAGCACGUCUCGAACUUCGUCACUGGAUCGACCGAGUCCCUAUGGCCUGUAUCUAUAAGGGCAAUCGAAAUCAUGAUUCCAAUUACUCUCCAGCAAGAUCAGCAAGGCUAAUCCAUGAUUAGGAGCUAGGUAAUGCAACCCUAAUCACGGUCCAACUCCCUAAUCCAACCCAACAAGAGAAAACUCGUCAAAGGUAAUAUAAAUAACACAUAUUCUAAGGAUCAGGUACAUUAUCUACCGUGCUCUAGCUAUCGAGUGUCGAACCCUUUUGUUGACUUUAGCGUCAAAGUGUCUUCUGCAUGUACUCUCAUUCGGUACUCACGAGACGACCGAGAACCGAGGCUAGGAAGGAAAGGAGAGGAACGAGUAAGAAAGGAAGUUGAAGAGUAGCACAACCGACCCAUAAAAAAGAAGAAGACGAGUUCUCUCAAUAGUUUUUUAGGCCCCAUCCCCGAACGAAAAUAAAUACAUUUAUUAAAAAUAAAAACAGUAAACAUAAUAAAAAAAUAGUUACCACACUUAAUAGAAAAAAACUCUAUAUAAAAAAAAAUUAUUAAAAACUUACGUGAAGGUGAAGGCAGAGAAGAAACCGUGUGAUAAACAUAACCAACCAAAGAACCACUGCAAUCAGACACAAGAAGAUGAACCAAGAUCCAAUCUGAAAAAAAAAAAAAAAACAGAAUGAAUUCCAAUAUUUUUCUCAAAUAAUGACUGAUAAGAUUAAUAAAAAAACUCACACAAAAAUUAAAAUAAAAUGCAACAAUUGUUAUGAUUUAAAGAAGAGGACGGCAACGAAUUUUCGAAACUUUAGACGAGUAAAAAGAAACGAGAUAGGUGAAUUAUAUAGCAAAACCUUUUACUAUAAUAGUAAAACAAAAUUAAGAAAAAAUGUUUAAUUAUUUAUUUUUUAUAUUUUAUUAAAGAAGGAAAUAAAUGGUUAUGUAUGGAGAGGGAAAAGAAUGAAAUUUGGGGAGGAAGGAAUAUGAGAGAAGAAAAGGAAAAGGAUAAAGUGUUGGAAGUGAGGAUUAAUUAUUUCUUAAUUAGAUAUUUAUUUAAAAAUAAUAGAAAUUAAUUUAAAAAUUAAAAAAGAAAAAUUUAAAUAAUUUUUAAUUUAUUUAAUAUUGUAAUUAAUUAUUUUGGUAUUUAAAAGUUGUUUUUUAUUUGAUGAUUGUCUUGUAGUAAUAGAUGACAAACCAUUAUAAUAUUAUAAUAAUAUUUUAUUUUAAAAAUUAAAUUAAAUUAUUAAAAUAUUAAUUUAUUUGUUUGUGAAAUUAUACUGUAUAUAGUGUCCACAUAUCACCAAUCAUUUAAAAUUCUCUACAUCACAAUUUACUGUCUUUUUUGUUUAGUAUGUGAAUUUAUCAGCUUAUUGUGAUUUUAGUUUCUCAAUUUACCCACAUCCCAGGUUAAUAUCUUUUUAAUUCCUAAAAUUAGUUACACAAUGUCAAUUAAGAGAUUAAAGUAGAAAUAAAAUGCUAAAUUCAGAAACUAAAAUACUCAUAAAUAAUUAAAUUCGGAGCUAAAACGAUAAAAUACAGUAAAGUCUGGGAUAAAAAAUUAAUAAAUAAAUAAUGAUAAAGUUAUAGUUUUACCUUAAUUUUUGAAUUUUAGUACUUUCAAAAACUGUUCUUUACCUGUUUUGUGCGACCAACUUAGCACACUGUUGUGUUUCGCGGCUGGGCUGCUUCAUUUCUCUACCACCACCAACAACCAUCGUCUUGUCACCUCAGAGUCAUCUACAGUUGUUCUUGGGGAUUUUGUGUUUUCAUUCACAUUUCACACUUACAUUAAAGGUAAAAACGAUUUUGAAUAUAUAGAUUUUGUUUGCAUAUUGCACCCAUUUUCUUUGUAUUCUUGGCACUGGCUUUUACUUUUUGGAAAAAGGGUUUGUCUCUAACAACGUGAGAAACUGUUGGAAUACCUGUUGGGAGAGAUUAAGCAUAGUGUUUGAAGCAAAAUUGUAUCUUGGAAUGGGAAACAAAAAGUUUAGACAACAGGGUUAACAAAACAAUACUCAUAUCCAUUCUCUCUAUAUUGGUUGUCAUGUACCUGGGUCUGAACAGUUAUACUAUGUUGCAUCUCAGUUCAAAAUGGUCAAAUUUUUCAUUUUCAUCAAUGUCAUUUGUUAUCAAUGUCAUGAUAUUUAGUUUCUCCAUUUGUUGUGUUUAAUGUUUGCUUUAUGAAAACAAGAGAGAUUUAUUCAUUAAUGCUAAGUAGUUAACUCUCUAUGGACUGUAGUAAUCUAAACAGUUUAGCUUUUUCACUUUCCAUUAUCAGUCCUUCUACACCUCUUUCUUCCAAGUCUUGCUACCAUGAAAAGUAGACAUGUCUAUAAUUAUGUGGUUCUGCAUCUAAAUUAUAAUAUAACACUAUAUUAAUAAAUUAGUUUCCAAAAUUAUGGAUUCUAGUUAAUUAGUAUAUGAAAUUGUAAAAGUAUAAUUGGAGUCAUCAAAGUUGGAGGAGUCAUUAUAAUAUUUCAGUACAAGAAUUAAAUUGGCUAAUGAUCUAGAACUAAAUUAUUUGUCAUUUUUUUAAUAUCUAGAAUUCAUAUAACAUUUUAUAAAUUAAAAAAAAACCAUAUGUAUAAAUGAUUUUAUUCAACAAGAGAAUCAUUAAUAAUGUAUUCUUUGUUCACCUCUGGACUCUGUCACUCUAUGUGUGUAUGUGUGUAUACACAGUCAAUUUUAAAUUUUAAAUAUGGUUUUAAUUCUUGUAAUCUACUUUCUGAUAUGUUUCUGGUCACUCUACACAAACUCAGCUUAUCUCUCAAUCUUAAAUAAUUAUGAUUUAAUUUACUGUUUAAAGAAAAAAAUCAGUUAAGUUGUAAAAAAAAAUUGUAUUGUUUUUUUCAUUUUUUUUUUAAAUUUUUAGAAAAUUAAACCAAAUUUUCUUUAAUUAUUUACUUUUAUUUUUUCAUCUUUUGUCCUGAACUUUAAUUGUAGAAUGUCCUAAAAAAACUAAACUCUGGAGAGCAUUAUUAAAAAGAAAAAAGGGAGAGAAUUGGUUGCUUGCUCGCGAAGUAUGAGGGUCUAAACAAAGUUAUAAUACUAUAUUUCCCAUUAUGAAUCUUUUAAAGAAGCAUUUUGUUUCAGUUUAUCGUAUACUCUUGGUUGACAAGUUUGUGAAGGAAAGGCCCCGAACACACAUUCAGAGCUUUAUUCACCAUUACUUCAAGGUAAAAGUUCUGAAUCAAAACCUCAUAUAUCUUUCUUCUGUAUCAAGUACAUGUUCUGUAAAUUGUUUUCUAUGACUGACUUCACUUGUUUUGAAUUUGAACACAUUUUAGAAUCACUUGAAAGAAAAUGGCAGAACAAAAUAAGGAAUGGGCUGUGGGAAUUGACCUUGGCACAACAUACUCAUGUGUUGCUGUAUGGCUAGAGGAACACUGUCGAGUGGAGAUAAUUCACAAUGAUCAGGGCUGUAGAACAACGCCUUCAUCUGUGGCUUUCACAGAGAAUCAAAGAUUGAUCGGUGAUGCUGCUAAAAAUCAGGCUGCUAUUAACCCAACUAACACUGUCUUUGGUAAAUAAUUGCUUUUUAUUGCAUGUGAAUUCAUUUAAAUGUUUAAACUAGUUAUUUGUGUUGGCUUUUAGUUGCAAAUGAUACCUUAACAUUCAUCAUUUACUUUGUGCCAAAAAGUAUACUUUUUGUCCAGUACUCUAAUUUGUUCUAUAACUUUAAAUUAAUAAAUAUCAUUCCAUAAGACUAUUUUGAUUAGCAUCAUUGAGGAAUAGCCUUAAAUUCGUGCUCGAUUAAUGACUAAUUUUGCAGAUGUGAAAAGGUUAAUCGGCAGAAGAUACAGUGAUCCCAUUAUCCAGGACGAUCUAAAGUUGUGGUCAUUUAAGGUCAUUGCUGAUUCUGAUGACAAACCCAUGAUAGCUGUUUCAUACAAAGGUCAGGAGAAACACAUUUCAGCUGAAGAAAUCUCAUCUAUGAUCCUCACAAAGAUGCGGGAGACUGCAGAAGCGUACUUGGAAUCAGGGGUUAAGAAUGUUGUGGUUACUGUGCCUGCUUAUUUUAAUGACUCUCAGCGACAAGCAACCAAAGAUGCUGGUACCAUUGCUGGCCUCAAUGUCAUGCGGAUAAUCAAUGAACCCACAGCUGCAGCUCUGGCAUACGGCCUUGACAAGAGAGCAAAAUGUGUUGUUGGAGAGAGAAAUAUUUUCAUCUUUGAUCUUGGUGGUGGUACAUUUGACGUGUCUCUGCUCACAAUCAAGGGUGAUGUCUUCAAAGUCAAGGCCACUGCUGGUGACACGCACCUUGGAGGAGAGGACAUGGAUAACAGAAUGGUAAAGUACUUCGUUGAGGAGUUCAAGAGGAAGAACAAAGUUGACAUCAAUGGGAACCGGAGAGCCUUGAGGAGGUUGAGAACUGCUUGUGAGAGAGCAAAAAUAAUAAUAAUAAUUGAAUGCGGACUGACCCACAAACUCAUGGGCCAGCACUUAUGCAGAGCGAGACCGAAAAUCACUCGUGCAAGAUUUGAGGAGCUCAACUUGGACCUCUUUAAAAGGUGUAUGGAGACAGUAGAUAUGUGUCUUGUUGAUUCUAAGAUGGACAAGAGUGAUGUAGAUGAUGUUGUUCUCGUUGGUGGUUCUUCUAGGAUUCCCAAAGUGCAACAGCUAUUGCAAGACUACUUCAAGGGGAAGGAACUGUGCAUGAGCAUCAACCCUGACGAGGUUGUUGCUUAUGGAGCAGCAAUUCCCAACUUAGUGUUAUUAGAUGCUACACGGCUGUCACUUGGUAUAUCUUUAAAAGGAGAUCUCAUGAGUGUUGUGAUUCCUAGGAACACCACCAUUCCUGUUGAGAAGAAAAAAGUAUAUGUUAAGAUCAGAAGAUUUCCCAAUCUUAUGUCCAAAGUAAAGGUUUACGAGUGUGAAAGGACAAUAGCAAGUGAUAACAAUUUGCUUGAUUUUUUUAAUCUUUAUGGCAGUCCUUAUGCUCUUUGAGGCCAUCCUUUAACUGUAAGUUUCAGUAUAGAUGUUGAUGGUACUUUAAGUGUAAUUGCUGAGGAAGAAAGCAGUGGAAGUAAGAACGGGAUUACUGUAACCAACGACAAGGGAAGACUAUCAACUCAACAAAUUAUGAGAAUGAUUCAAGAUGCCGAGAUAUACAAGGCUGAAGACCAGAAGUACCAAAAGAAAGUUCAAGCAAUUGAUGCUAGCCAGCAGACAGAAACAGAGGUGUUUGUGGAUCAUCUGAAUGAGGUGAAGAGCCUCAUUGAACUCAUUAUGAGGAUUAACUAGUUUGUUUCAAAACUCAAAUUUGGAAAAUCGAUUAUGCUUCUUGAAAAACAUCACAAUCGAUUUUUUAAAUUAUUCUGAAUGUAUAGUGUUGAUAAAAAAAAUAAGAUAAACCAGUUAUUUAGUUUCUCAAACCACUUUUCUUGUUCCUCAAAGCACGAGCUCUCUCGUUUUGUUCUAGGAAGAAGAGCAAAUCACAACAAACAAAACUAUCACAAAACUAAUUUUAUUUAUACACAAAGUUCACGUUCAUGAGUCUACAAUUUUUUUGUCAAGAUUCUUUUGCACCCAGCACUGUAAAGAAGAAAACCGAAAACUCAUUCACAUGCAGAUGCCUACAUUGUUUAAUAUAUUUGAUGGAAGGGUAACAAAAUAAAUUAGUAUUUGUGCUUCUAUAUUCCGCGCAAAUCUUCUCAGUUUUAUGAAGAGUGAAAAAACUAUCUACCCUGCUCUCCCAUCCGCACUCACACUCUCAUAUACACUCAUCCAAACAAAAACUCUUUCCACUUCCCUUCCUCCUCUUUUGUCACACCUUGAAGCAAAUAGGAUGUAAGAUUGAGGACAUGCAAAUGAACAAGAUUACGUGAACCUUCCUAACCCAUUAGACAUCAUAUGAUAGUUUUAUUUAUAUAUUGAUUUGAUCUAUUUAGAAAAAAUGUCAAAUCUAAGCAUUUAUAAGCAAAGUUGGAAGUUUUUAGAAAAUAGUAGGCUUGAACCUCUUUUAAGUUAUAGUAUUUUUUUUUUUAUGCUAUAUCAAUAUUAUAUGAGUUAAAAUUGUUUUAAAUAAUUUUCAUUUUUGAGAUCCAUCUAAUACUCCAAACCAAACAAGCAUUAUCAACAAUUCCAUUUUUAUGCAAAAUUCAUCCAUAGAUAAAAAUAAAACAUGCAACAAAAAUAACUAACUGAAAAAUAAAUUAUACACCAUAAUAACUUUAUAUUAUCAUACAAUGACACAGUGUAAAAUAAAGAUAUUAACUUUUACUAUUAUCAAAACUUUAUCUGCCAAACGUUUAAAAUCAAACAAUUUCAACAAAAUCUUUAAAUUUUAUUGGACUUUCCUCAUCUGUAUCUAUUUCUACAGAAAUGGCUUUAACUGCUUACUCGUAUUAACAGCUACUUUCGUAUAAAAUAUAUGUUGACAAAUUAUUCAUGGGCAUAAUUUAUUCUAAAUUUUUCACCAAACACUUGCAAAUAUCACUCAAUUCACAAGAUAAACCGGGCCAUAAAUUAUCUAUUCCAGACGAAACCAUGAAGCAUAAAAUUGACAACUGAAAGUAGCUAAAUAAACUAAAAGUUCAUGAAAAUCGAGAGUUAUUUUCGUAACUUCAGAUAAGCCUUUUUCAAAAGCGAUAAAAAUGAACUCCUACUCAACCGUACAAAAUACUAAAAAUGUAGAAAAUAUCAAUACACCAAUUCUUCCAUCUUAACAAUGCAAUGCUACAUAGUAUCACUAGCAAAAUAAAACCGGUAAAACACAACUAAAAAAAAAGAUAGUCCCAGGGAACAGCAAGGGGACAAAAAUAUCAACUCUGAGGCGAUGCUUUAGCAACGGCAGUCUGAGGCUGAGUGUUCCCACUGGCAUUACCAUCGGCAGUAUAUGCUGGAGCCUGAGUAUAACCAGCACCAUAAGAACUACUGCUGUAUGGAGGCGGUGCCUGACCAUAAGUAGGCUGGCCACCCUGAGGUGCACCAUAUGUUUGAGAACCAUACCCUGGUUGCCCUGCACCAUAUCCCGAAGGUGGUGCUCUCUGAGCACCAGAUUCUGGUUGGGGUUGAGAAUAACCAGAUGGUGGAGGCUGCGCAGGAUAUGCUGACUGACCAUAGCCUCCUACCGCACUAGGUGACUGUGACUGUCCAUAAACAGGAGGAUUAGCACUUGGCUUUUGAGAUUGAGGGGCUCCAUAACCUGGCUGUGGUUGACUUCCAUAAGCAGCUUGGGAUGUAGGGGGAACCCCAUAACCUGACUGAGGAGUUCCCUGAGGUGGGUAGCUGGCAGUGUUUGAGCUGGGCUGUUGGCUGGUAGGAUAACCUUGCUGUGGCUGUUGGGUAGAUGGAGCUUGGGCUGAAUCUCCCUGAGAUGCAUAACUUGCAGUGUGGCCAUCUGGUGCUGAGUUAUUCCCACUACCAUAGCCGGUAGUAGCUGACCCAUAGCCUUGCUGCUGAUCAUAUGCUGGUGGCUGUCCAUACCCUGAUUGAGAUUGUGCAUUGUAUGCAUUAUAGCUGUCCUGAGCAUAACCCUGUC